GACGAACGCUGGCGGCGUGCCUAAUACAUGCAAGUUGAGCGCUGAAGGUUGGUACUUGUACCAACUGGAUGAGCAGCGAACGGGUGAGUAACGCGUGGGGAAUCUGCCUUUGAGCGGGGGACAACAUUUGGAAACGAAUGCUAAUACCGCAUAAAAACUUUAAACACAAGUUUUAAGUUUGAAAGAUGCAAUUGCAUCACUCAAAGAUGAUCCCGCGUUGUAUUAGCUAGUUGGUGAGGUAAAGGCUCACCAAGGCGAUGAUACAUAGCCGACCUGAGAGGGUGAUCGGCCACAUUGGGACUGAGACACGGCCCAAACUCCUACGGGAGGCAGCAGUAGGGAAUCUUCGGCAAUGGACGAAAGUCUGACCGAGCAACGCCGCGUGAGUGAAGAAGGUUUUCGGAUCGUAAAACUCUGUUGGUAGAGAAGAACGUUGGUGAGAGUGGAAAGCGCAUCAAGUGACGGUAACUACCAGAAAGGGACGGCUAACUACGUG
rnacentral:rRNA from 1 species